CACGGGGGGAGCAAGCGUUGUUCGGAAUCACUGGGCGUAAAGGCGUGUAGGCGGUCGAGUAAGUGGAAUGUGAAAUACUCCGGCUCACCGGAGCACUGCAUCCAACUGCUCGGCUUGAGUAUGGAGAGGACGAGGAAUUCCUGGUGUAGCGGUGAAUGCGUAGAUAUCAGGAGAACACCGGUGCGAAGCGCUCGUCUGGCCAAUACUGACGCUGAUGCGCGAAGCUAGGGAGCAACGG
rnacentral:rRNA from 1 species